rnacentral:rRNA from 1 species
GACGAACGCUGGCGGCGUGCUUAACACAUGCAAGUCGAACGGUAAGGCCCUUCGGGGUACACGAGUGGCGAACGGGUGAGUAACACGUGGGUGAUCUGCCCUGCACUUCGGGAUAAGCCUGGGAAACUGGGUCUAAUACCGGAUAGGACCACUGCCUGCAUGGGUGGUGGUGGAAAGCUUUUGCGGUGUGGGAUGGGCCCGCGGCCUAUCAGCUUGUUGGUGGGGUGAUGGCCUACCAAGGCGACGACGGGUAGCCGGCCUGGGAGGGUGACGGGCCACACUGGGACUGGGAUACGGCCCAGACUCCUACGGGAGGCAGCAGUGGGGAAUAUUGCACAAUGGGCGCAAGCCUGAGGCAGCGACGCCGCGUGAGGGAUGACGGCCUUCGGGUUGUAAACCUCUUUCAGCACCGACGAAGCGCAAGUGACGGUAGGUGCAGAAGAAGGACCGGCCAACUACGUGCCAGCCGCCGCGGUAA